AACGAACGCUGGCGGCGUGCUUAACACAUGCAAGUCGAACGGUAAGGCCCUUCGGGGUACACGAGUGGCGAACGGGUGAGUAACACGUGGGUGAUCUGCCCUGCACUUCGGGAUAAGCCUGGGAAACUGGGUCUAAUACCGGAUAGGACCCUGGGAUGCAUGUCCUGGGGUGGAAAGCUUUUGCGGUGUGGGAUGGGCCCGCGGCCUAUCAGCUUGUUGGUGGGGUGAUGGCCUACCAAGGCGACGACGGGUAGCCGGCCUGAGAGGGUGACCGGCCAAACUGGGACUGAGAUACGGCCCAGACUCCUACGGGAGGAAGCAGUGGGGAAUAUUGCACAAUGGGCGCAAGCCUGAUGCAGCGACGCCGCGUGAGGGAUGACGGCCUUCGGGUUGUAAACCUCUUUCAGCACCGACGAAGCGCAAGUGACGGUAGGUGCAGAAGAAGGACCGGCCAACUACGUGCCAGCAGCCGCCGUAA
rnacentral:rRNA from 1 species